ensembl:snRNA U6atac minor spliceosomal RNA
GUGCUGUGUGAAAGGAGAGUAGUUUAGCACCUCCCUUGACAAAAGAUAGAAGAGGUCCUUGGACCUGACAACAAAUGAAUGGUUAAGGCAUUGCCACCUGCCUCAUGCCAUCUAACCACUGUUUUUU